CACAACCAGAUACAGCAUUGCCUUCUUUGUCCUGCAGAUGAGUUGCUCCUCAUCACUGGUUCCAGCCUGGAGUUUGACAGUUUACAGAACCCAUCCACUCAGGACGGCCUCGUCCCAACUCAAGUCUGCAGACUAGGGUGGCUCUACUUUAGAUGGCAUUUGGCUGGGCUGGUCUCCUGGAUUCAGGUGGGAUUCAGAUGCUGUUGAUGCCCCACCUGUGUCUCUUUGGCACACACAUUCUGACAUGCUGGCUUCAUAUUGUUAAGUACUCAUGACUCUGCCUAAGGACUUUCUCUGGCCAUGGUAGCUUGCUCAGCCUAUGCUUGGAGCAGGACCCAGAAGACUGGAAUGGAGGUGGGACAAUUCACAGGUGUGUAUUACAUGGUGUCACCGUCAGCUCCAGCAGGAUUGGGCCACAGUUGCCCACGGUUCCUCUACUUUAGAUGGUGACC